UCAAGAAUUCCACUCUAGAAUGCAGUAAGGGGAAAGUAGUAGGCUCAGCCACGGGCAUGGUCACUGGAGAAAGUAUGCACUGCUUUGAGAACCCGCUCUGUCAGGAGACACUUUUCUUCUUCCGGAAUUCAAGCUACUUCAAUUCGGGAGUAGCAAAGAACCUCACCUGGUGUUCAUCCAUGAGGGCCCCAAACGCUCUGUGACCUGGCCUAGAAUGUGGUCCUUACCCAUCAUCGGCCUGGGCGAGACCUCGGAACGUGCCUUCCCCGCCUGGGCAGUAUCUCUGGCUCUGGAAUGUACCCUCCUCCGCAUUAAAGUGCCUCACGGUCCUGUCCGCACAUCCCACCAAAAUCUGCCAACAGAGAAAGGAAUGAUGGGAGAAGAGCAAGACUGCAGGGCACCAGUUAGCUCCGGCCUGGCCAGUGGCUACUCACCUGGGUCUCGCCGCCUGUGCCCCAGCACAGAGCAUUCACUGCCUCCUCCCGCCGUGGCUGUCCCGACGGAGUAAAAUUUGCCGCAAGUUUCCGCUGAAGGUUCACCCCUGAGGGACGAGGACGUCAGUCACGCUGGGGUGACAAGUAAAUCCUGCACUUUCCCACAAACAACUCAGAUUCUCACCUUUCAGGAUUCCAGUCUCAGUGCCGACCCACACAUGGUUCCAGCGAGCCGAGGUAGCGGCCAUCGCAGACCAGCCUGUGGCUUGCACUUCCGGCGCGCCAGCACUACAUCAUCAGCGAGCGCCAGAUUCAGUUUGACAAGGCGGGUCUUUUCCUCUGUACCUGCACUAACCUGUCGUUUCCCUCUCUCCCUUCUUUCCUCCCCUCUUACUGCCAACCCUCAAAAAAGGCACACAUUUUUAAUGUGCACUCUGGCAGUAGAGGAAAGAGGAUCUAUGUAGGCUUCAGGAUGGCCAGGGCUGCGCUGCACAGAGAAACCCUGUCUUGAAAAUACAAAACACACACACACACACACACACACACACACACACACACCACACACCACACACCACACACCACACACACACACGCGCGUGUUUAUGGAGAACUGAAAAGGAUCAUCUCUCACUGUCUGUGAAAAGCAUAAUUUCUGAACUGCAGUGCUGUGUGGAGCCAGGACUCCAUCACUAUUAAAAGAAUUUCAGAAGU